UCAGACGAUGCGUCAUGCAUAUCAAUAAGCGGAGGAAAAGAAACUAACAAGGAUUCCCCUAGUAACGGCGAGUGAAGCGGGAAGAGCUCAAAUUUGAAAUCUUAAAGGGUUUCCCUUUACGAAUUGUAGUUUAAAGAAGUGUUUUCUGUUGAGGUUUUGGUAAAAGUUCUUUGGAAUAGGACAUCAUAGAGGGUGAGAAUCCCGUAUUUGACCUUUACUUUCAACUUUGUGAUACACUUUCAAAGAGUCGGAUUGUUUGGGAAUGCAGUCCAAAAUGGGUGGUAAAUUUCAUCUAAAGCUAAAUAUUGGCGAGAGACCGAUAGCGAACAAGUACCGUGAGGGAAAGAUGAAAAGAACUUUGAAAAGAGAGUUAGACAGUACGUGAAAUUGUCAAAAGGGAAGCGUUUGACACCAGUGUUGUUUUUCUGAAAAUCAAUUAAAGAACUGUUUAUGCUAAGUUGUUUAGACUUUAUCAGCUAAUCUGUUUAGUUUUGAGCUUUUCUUUAAUGCACUUUUCAGUUAACAAGUCAACAUCAAUUUCUUUUGCUGUAAAAAAGCUUGAGGAAGGUGGCUUGAGAUUCGUCUUAAGUGUUUAUAGCCUCUUGCCUAUGCAGUCGGAGCGAUUGAGGUCUGCAGCGUAGAUCCUUCGGGGCUAAAUGCAUUUGUGCUAAGUUAUAGCAUUUUAUAGACAACUUGUUGACUAUGAUUUGUCUUGUAGCUUACUCGCUUAUGUUAUUUUACCUACGCUUAGGAUGUUGAAUCUGUGCGAGACUAC
rnacentral:rRNA from 1 species